AGUGAACGCUGGCGGUAGGCCUAACACAUGCAAGUCGAACGGCAGCACAGUAAGAGCUUGCUCUUACGGGUGGCGAGUGGCGGACGGGUGAGGAAUACAUCGGAAUCUACUUUUUCGUGGGGGAUAACGUAGGGAAACUUACGCUAAUACCGCAUACGACCUACGGGUGAAAGCAGGGGAUCUUCGGACCUUGCGCGAUUGAAUGAGCCGAUGUCGGAUUAGCUAGUUGGCGGGGUAAAGGCCCACCAAGGCGACGAUCCGUAGCUGGUCUGAGAGGAUGAUCGGCCACACUGGAACUGAGACACGGUCCAGACUCCUACGGGAGGCAGCAGUGGGGAAUGUUGGACAAUGGGCGCAAGCCUGAUCCAGCCAUACCGCGUGGGUGAAGGAGGCCUUCGGGUUGUAAAGCCCUUUUGUUGGGAAAGAAAAGCAGCAGGUUGAUACCCCGCUGUUCUGACGGUACCCAAAGAAUAAGCACCGGCUAACUUCGUG
rnacentral:rRNA from 1 species